AUCUCUUAUUUGUUGAGCAACUUCCUGGCACAGAGGCAAAGGAAGCUGCAGUCCUCUCCCUGGGGAAUUCAUCAUCUCCUGGAGAGCAGGAUGUAGCCAAAGAAAAGAAUCUGGAAUGGAGAAAACUGUCAGAGGAGAGGCUCCAACACCAGUGCUGCAAGAGAUGCUGGGUUCAUAAGGUCGAGGGAGCUCCACGUUGAAGGGUUGUCGUGAGCACUACUGAGAUGAGGACCCGAACUGCUUACCGCAGAGCCUGCUCUUUGGACGCUGGACUCUCAGGAGUGGAUCUCCGUGCUGACGUUAGUAAGAAGACAGCAUCCAGCAUCCUGACCCUUCUGUCCCUCUGAACUGCAGCUGACUUCUACAAAUCCAGUCUCCAAAUGAGUCCUGUCCUAAUUUAUGCAAAGACAUCCACGUGGGUCUAUAGCCCGAGCUGUCCCGUCUUGGGAUCAGGCUAUGGGAGUGGAGAAAAUAGGUGGGAACUUCCUGAUGUCCCCCCAUCCCCCAGGACUCAGGUUUGUUGACUCAGAGUGGAGGAGGAACCAGGCAGCAGGGAAUGUCCAGGAGAAAGGGCCUGGCCUGCGCUCCCAAAUCCUGGCACUGCGCAUCUGGAGUGAUCAGCACAUCUGGCUGCAUCCCUGGGGCAAUGGCCACAGCUGCUGACAUUUGGGGGAGGAGAGAUGUAGCUCCUCAGCCAGGGCCUGGGGAGCUAUAAAUAACUAGCUAAGAGGACCAGGGGGAUGAGUUUGACCUUUGGGGGGGGGCGAGAGCGCCUGGCGACUUUCCCCCACCCCCUUGGGUCCGGAGCCAAAGUUUUAGCAAAACAGGAAGAGGCAGCAGCAGCUGCUGGGAAAGUAGGAGUGGCUCCCCUUCCCCCACUUGCCCGGGGCCUUCGGAUCCCAGCCAGGACCUGGGAGAGGUGGAGUCUUCUAGGCUGGGGUGAGGGGAGGGGCAGACCCACGCAGACUGUGGCCCCAGCUCCUGGAGGCCUCUGAUGAUGGGCUCAGCUGGGGCCCAGGCGAGGGAGGGUGAGGCAGAGGAGGGCAGCCUAGUGGGCUGUGCCUGUCACCCCAGCCCCCUCCUGUUUCCUUUCUGUUCCCCCAUCAGUGGGACCACAGGAAGGACCAGACAUUAGAAAUGGAGCAUAAAUAUGUCUGCAAUCCAGCCAGUGCAUCUAGGGGCCCACCUGUCUCUUCCAUCCCCUCCCAGCCCACAGGUGGGCUGAGCCUAAGCCCAAGUAGGUAGGAGAGAGGACUCUGGACAGGAGGAAGGGUGCUUCGGGGCUUCUGGAGUGGAACCCAAGGCCUGGCCCCAGUGGAAUGAUGGAGAACUUCCCUGCGAACUAUUGAGGUGGGGAGAUCCAAAGCCUGGAGUAACUGGUCCCCAGGAACAAGCUCUGUAGAGCCAGGAGCCGGCGCAGAGGGCCUCAGGAAGUCCACCACGAAAGGAGUUGUCCAGGAACUAUCGCUUUGCUUUGCUUUGCCUGGGGGAGACUGGCCACUCUGGCGACAUCUGGUUGAAACUUCGGCUGGCCCACACCUCCAGUGGGUCUGUAGCUUUAUCUUUCAUGACCUGUCACUGGAGCCACUCAGCCUGGAGUCCUGCAUUUUGUGUGCAGAGAGGGGCUAGACCAGCACCACCCAAUAGAAACAGAAUAGGGGCCAUGGAGGUAACUUUACAUUUUCUUUAAAAAAAAAAAA
rnacentral:lncRNA from 1 species